CAGUGAACGAGGAACAGAACAAACUCCAAUAAACCUUCAGUAAGAAAAUAAAAAACAACAUGAUGAUGAAGAAGAAGAAGAAGAGCAGUAGGAGGGGGCGCGGGUCUCCAUGGUAACACACAGGGGGAGGGGAGGGAGGGUGCAGGGUAACCAUGGUAACAGUGAGGUGAAGAGGGAGGGGGGUUACUUUACUGUCCUCUGGUGUCGGACAGUUUAACAUCUGAUGACCUCCAACACACACACACACACACACAGUAACACAAACAUACACACACACACACAGUAACACACACACACUCUGUGGUUUGGUGUGUGUGUUUCAGAGCAACCUGUCUCUCUCUCUCUCUGUCUGUCAGGUUCAGAGGUGAAGAUCAAUCCCACGAUGCCUCAGUGUUUGAGGUGUUGUCUGCAGCUGCACAUUACACUGACUGCUGUUACACAGGAGCUCACAUUCACUCUGGAAGCUGUCCCAUAAUGCACUGCCUCCAAUCAGGGGGUCAGAGGUGGACCGCGAGGUGGACUGCUGGAUCCCUAUUUCUGUUGCUAGUUCACCACAACAUUCACUUGGAGAAGAUUUGAGGAGAAACAUCAACAGUGUCGAUUUUAAACACUUAAGAGUUUUAUUAAAGUGAUGGUGGACUGAGACCCCGACCCUGGUUAGUGAGUCCUGAGGGGAUUCUCUCCAACCAGCAGCCCCCUCACAGACACUGCAGCAACAUCUCUACCUGCUCUAUUUAUUCACAGCAACUCUGUGAGAUCAAUACAGUCACACUGAGGACUGUUGGGAUCAAUACAGUCACACUGAGGACUGUUGGGAUCAAUACAGUCACACUGAGGACUGUUGGGAUCAAUACAGACACACUGAGGACUGUUGGGAUCAAUA